rnacentral:rRNA from 1 species
UACGUAGGGUGCGAGCGUUAAUCGGAAUUACUGGGCGUAAAGCGUGCGCAGGCGGUUUUGUAAGCCAGAUGUGAAAUCCCCGGGCUCAACCUGGGAAUGGCGAUGGAUACUGGCUCGCUAGAGUGCGGUAGAGGAGAGUGGAAUUCCCGGUGUAGCAGUGAAAUGCGUAGAGAUCGGGAGGAACAUCAGUUGCGGAAGGCGGCUCUCUGGACCAGCACUGACACUGAGGCACGAAAGCGUGGGGAGCAAACAGG